rnacentral:rRNA from 1 species
AUUGAACGCUGGCGGCAGGCCUAACACAUGCAAGUCGAACGAGUGGCGGACGGGUGAGUACUGUCUGGGAAACUGCCUGAUGGAGGGGGAUAACUACUGGAAACGGUAGCUAAUACCGCAUACCCUCGGAUGUGCCCAGAUGGGUUUAGCUAGUAGGUGGGGUAAAGGCGCACCUAGGCGACGAUCCCUAGCUGGUCUGAGAGGAUGACCCGCAACACUGGAACGGAGACACGGUACAGACUCCUACGGGAGGCAGCAGGGGGGAAGAUGGAACAAUGGGCGCAAGCCGGAUGCAGGCAUGCCGCGUAGAUGAAGAAGGCCUUCGGUUUGUAAAGUACUUUCGGCGGGGAGGCGUUACCCGCAGAGAAAGCACCGGCUAACUCCGUGCCAGCCGCCGCGGUAAUUC